CYSRRKUUACAACUCCCAAACCCCUGUGAACAUACCUAUACGUUGCCUCGGCGGAUCAGCCCGCGCCCCGUAAAACGGGACGGCCCGCCCGAGGACCCCUAAACUCUGUUUUUAGUGGAACUUCUGAGUAAAACAAACAAAUAAAUCAAAACUUUCAACAACGGAUCUCUUGGUUCUGGCAUCGAUGAAGAACGCAGCAAAAUGCGAUAAGUAAUGUGAAUUGCAGAAUUCAGUGAAUCAUCGAAUCUUUGAACGCACAUUGCGCCCGCCAGUAUUCUGGCGGGCAUGCCUGUUCGAGCGUCAUUUCAACCCUCAAGCUCAGCUUGGUGUUGGGACUCGCGGUAACCCGCGUUCCCCAAAUCGAUUGGCGGUCACGUCGAGCUUCCAUAGCGUAGUAAUCAUACACCUCGUUACUGGUAAUCGUCGCGGCCACGCCGUUAAACCCCAACUUCUGAAUGUUGACCUCGGAUCAGGUAGGAA
rnacentral:rRNA from 1 species